GCUGGGAGCUGCGGUGGCCUGCGUGUCUGUCUGUCCCACCACUUUCUCUCCAGGGCCGCCCCACCCAGAGUCCCUUUCCUGCCAGGCCAGGGCUUUCCGCCCAUUGCUCACGGCUUCCCCAGUGUUUGUCCGUGGAGCUCCCGCCCAUCCCUGGUUGUUUUGACCCGCCUGCCUGGGGCUUUUCGUGUGUCUUCAAGCUGGUUAUGUAGGGAGCACUUUCUAUAACCAGCAGGCUCCGUUGUCCCAGGGAGCCGGCGAAGGGGGUGCCUGUGUCCAGGCCUGGGGGCUGCACCAGCUGUCUCCGGGGCUGGCCCAGGUCCCCACCACUCGGACGGGUCAGCGCAGUGAGCGCCCAGUCUGCUCGCACCUCCAGACGCACCCCCUUUCCAGUUCUUCUUCCUCCCCCACCCACAAUCCCAGGAUCAGAGAGCAAGCAAUGGUUUGGCCAAAAGGCAGGCCCACCUUCUGCACUGAACAAUGAUGCUUCGGGGGCCCAGAAAGAGAGACAGGGGAGAAGGGACCGCUGAGAGGCCAACCAGGGGACGGUGAAGCAUGAGCGGGAGGCUUGCUCAGGUGGGUCUCCCAGAAGCAGAUGGUGAGACAAGAUUCUGGACAGUUUAUGUGGGACGGGACCCCUGACACACCAGGCGGGGAGUCAGGGAGGGCAGGAGCCCGUACACCCCUGGGGAACAGGGCCCACCCACUGGGGCCUCAGGUGACUAUAGACAUACCUCAGGGCUGCCUGGCCUGGAGGAGGGGAAGCUGGGCUGCUUCCCCUCCAACUGCCAUCAGUCACUGCCAAGGAGCUCCCAGGGCACUAACCAGCCCACAUGUCUGGCUCCUGUAGCCAGAGACAGCGUGUACCGGAUGCUGAGUGCCCAGGGACCUGGGCAGGCUCCCAGCUCUGCCGACAAUGGGUCACUUCUGCCCCAGGCUAGCAGACAGAAGGAGGAGAGGGUGCUACCAGCCCAAGGCCCAGGGUCAUGCUGCAGAAGCCCCAGCUACAGAAAUUUGCAGCAGCGACUGGGAGGGUGUUGGAGGUGGGGAUGCAACUGGAGGCUUCUUCCUGGCUCUGCCUCCAGGAUCCCGUCAGAGCAUGACGUCGGCCCAACCAUGCGCUUUGGCAUUUGGCAGUGGGGCUGUGCUGAAGGAGGAAGGGCCCUCAGAGUCUGUUUCGGAGCCUUCGACCAGCAGCGCAACCUUUUGCAGACAUCGGAGGCGGGACACACAUGCAAACAUCCUGGGGGAAGAGACUCGGUGGACAAGGGCCUGAAGACCCACCCCCACCUUGCAGAGUCAGCCUGCCCCAAGCCAGACCAGGAGGCUGUCGCAAAUGUACACAUUUCCAGGAGCUGGGAGACACCAAGGGAGUCACACAGCGAUGCGCUCGGCAGACAUGAGGUGCGAGAGCGUGGUGGGCAGGACCCGCUUGUCUCGCCAGCCUCCCGGGGAUGCGACACCCUCGCUGGACCCCACAGGUCCGCUGGGAGCAGAAGCAAGCUCCUACGUGGAUGAGCAGUGCCUGGCUCGCAGCAAGGGGUCCCUGCGUGGUCCUGUUAGAGUGGACACCAGCGUUCGGGACCUCACAGUCCAUCAGGAAACAGGUAGAGAGGCCACGACUUGUCUCCUCACCAUGGGCCUGAGUGUGACUCAGGACCUCUCCGCGGAGGGCGCCCCAGCAGUAUCUCUCAAAACCAGGCCAGAGAGAGCCCUCGCCCACCCAGAGCCGGCGCUCCUGGGACCCCGUGCCGAGGGGCUCCACCACAGCUCUUUACUGCCCCAACAGUGUCCUUUCAAACAGACAGCAAAGUUUCAACGGUUGCACAAGAACAAGACAAGCGCCCAUCUGGUGCACCCACCCAAGGGGCAGAUGACCCUGAACACCCAGGAGGAUGAAUAA
rnacentral:lncRNA from 1 species